CCCGAGACUCCCGCCGGCACUGAUUUUAAAUACAAGGAAGGCGCGAGAGUCCUCCAAACGAACGAAGCAAGCGGCGCGGCAGAGAGACUACAUUCUUGAGCUGUGAUUCCGCCAGCAGGGGGCGCUAUUUGUCAAGUUUCGACGAACGUAUCAAAGGUACCAAGGCAGUUCACCCUGACCUGACCAGAUGAGAGGGUGAGGAGGUCUAGGGGUCGGACCAGGUGACCUCCAGGAAGAAUUAAAGAGAAGAGUUGGAGCGUGCUGUCCUCGCCAGACCUCCCAGGAGUGGAUUCAUCAACACGGAUCAGACAUUACAGAUCACUAAUCCCACUGGUGUCAGAGGAUGAGGACAUGCAGACCGCACUGAGGAGGAGG